AUGUUUUGCAUUAGAAUAUCAGAUAGCACUAUGUGAAACAAAUGCUCAAUAAAACAGAACAGAAGCCUACCAACAUUGAUAAGGAAACAUUAUAGCAACUUAGCAUGACUACGAUGAGAAUACAACAGAUGAAAAGCAGAUAUCUAUGUUCGCUCAACAUAGCAGAUAAUCAAGAAAAAAAAGGUCGUUCUGAAUUAGUGACGCAAUGGAGCGCUUCAUAACUUUCAUCAAUCACUCAAAGUGAUAUGCAAAAAGAACAAAUAGGAAAAACUCUCACGUACACACUCACACCCCACAAACCAGAGUCCAUAAAAGAUCAUAAAAAUUCAAUAAAAAACAACACUUGACAAAUAUAUGACACUUCCAAAGCUACUUCUACAUGGGUCCACAAGCAAUGCCAAGUCCCAAGCCAAAUCAAUCAUGUCAAUUGCAGUAGAGUACCUAACACAUGCAUAGAUACAUCAACAAUUUACAUGCACAUACGGAUCAUAGGAAAAAAAAUAUUAUACUUCGAAAA